rnacentral:rRNA from 1 species
UGGGGAAUAUUGGACAAUGGGCGCAAGCCUGAUCCAGCCAUGCCGCGUGAGUGAUGAAGGCCCUAGGGUUGUAAAGCUCUUUCUCCGGUGAAGAUAAUGACGGUAACCGGAGAAGAAGCCCCGGCUAACUUCGUGCCAGCAGCCGCGGUAAUACGAAGGGGGCUAGCGUUGUUCGGAUUUACUGGGCGUAAAGCGCACGUAGGCGGACUUUUAAGUCAGGGGUGAAAUCCCGGGGCUCAACCCCGGAACUGCCUUUGAUACUGGAAGUCUUGAGUAUGGUAGAGGUGAGUGGAAUUCCGAGUGUAGAGGUGAAAUUCGUAGAUAUUCGGAGGAACACCAGUGGCGAAGGCGGCUCACUGGACCAUUACUGACGCUGAGGUGCGAAAGCGUGGGGAGCAAACAGG